AUGACAAUAACCUUCGGUGAUGCUACUAAAGACAAAAAAAUCAAGAUUACCAAGGAAGCUACCCACAAGAUGUUUGGAUACCCAAACGGCACGCAAAGCGCCGCUAUCUUCGCCCGGACAGCUAUAAUGGUCAAGGACAUGGACUAUCCAGAAAUAGCAAAGAUGGAUUUCUGCGAGGUAAUAGUUGAAUGUAUUAGGGAAGGAGCCAAGACAUGGCAGAAGCACAGGAUGUUGCCUCAGGAGGAAAAGAACAAAAAGCAUGUCAGUGGUUUGGCACAGGUACCAGUAAUCAUGUACCUUGACUCCCUGUUGCUGCCAACCGACACAAAAAAAUGCGGAAGAUUGCAAAGACAAUGGACAAAACCUCAUUACCACGAGCAAACCAUCUCAAAGAGAGUGACCUAG
rnacentral:rRNA from 1 species